CGUCAAGGUGCGAGCGCGGCCUUUUCCACGACAUCUGCACCGUCCGCUCGUCGGCGAUGUGAAAGGUCAAAUCGGACGGCGGCUCCACUGCACAAAAAGAGCCAAACGAAAACGUGUUGAGGACGGCACACGCGCGCGAACGGACAUCAAUCCAACACUUUGGAGUUGAAUUGACCAACUGGCACGUCCGGACGCCUUCUGCCACGACCGCUACGACAAGGAGCAGAACUGUUCUUGUUCACAACAACGCCAAGAGACACAGAGGUGAAAGGUCAAGGGUGGGGAGGAGGAGGAGGGGGAGGUCUUACCUUGGUCCUGGGCCGAAGAGGCGAGCACCAGCGCCAGCAGCGCCGCGGCCACCAGAGGCAGCCCACUCUUCAUUAUGGCUUCCUGUGGCUCACCACAGCUCGGACGACGGCUGCCAACAGCACCGCCGCCACCGCCGAGAUGACGACGACCACCGCGACAUGUGAGGAGGAGGAGGAAGACCGGGGCGACAUGUGAGAACGCAGGAGAUGCUGCCGCAAGAGCGCAAAGGGGGAGAAGGGGAAAGAGGCGCACAAGGAGGUAUAGGAAAGGAAAGAUGAGGAGGCGGCAACGAGGAACGAGAAGAAAACGGGCGAAAAAACCAGGAGGCGCUUUGAGAAAAAAGAAAGAAGGAGAAAAUGAGGAGGAAGGAGGAAAGAACGGGACUAAGGAGGUAAUUGCAGGAAGGAGAAAGAGAAGGUGUAGGAAACGAGAGAAGGGAGGUAUGGAAAACAGGAGUACGACAGGACCGUCCAAAAUCCAGCAUCUCAUUUGAUCAUCUGAAAAUAUCUUUAGGCAUUCUUUUCUCAUCUUCCCAAAUCCCCCCAAAAAAGAGCAUUGUGCCUGAUGAAGAAUAAACUGGGGAAGCAAGAAGAAAACGGGAGGAGAAGAAGUAAAAAGAGCAAGGAAGGAAGGAAGGGAGGAAAGGAGGGCAGAAGAGAAAUUCUGUGUACCUGCGCGCGGACGUCAACUGAAAUAUUUGAAGAGGGCAACUUUUCCACAAGAGCUGACACAACUUUGCCCUGAGCGAGAGACGAAGAAGAAAAGAAGAAAAAAGAAAAGUCGGCGGACGUGGAAUUAGCAGACGUCAUCACACGCAGACAUAUGGGAAAACGUCCUUAAUGGUGGUGAAGAUGUGUACCAACCUGAAGUUCGGUCUCCAACUGUUCACCCACCGAGAAGAGGAGGAAGAUGAUGAUAAUGAUGAUGAAGGAGGGGGGAGGAGAAGAAGGAAGGGGAGCUCGUGCGCUUCUCGGAGGUGUUCCGAGCUUCUGGUCGCAACUCGGCGGGCGUCGUCGAAUUUUCCUCCAAGUGGGCCGAGCCUCCCCUCCGCGCCCUAUUUAAAAGGGGGAGGGGGGUUAAGGGGGCCGGUUUGCCCACCCAGCGGACCACAAACACCAAAGUCACUCUAGGAAACUUUGAGACGUCUCACAUGCGCUCAUUGUUUUGUGCCGAUUCAGCACAUCAAGCCAAUGACUUCCUCUAUAAAUCAAAAUUCAUUCAUCAAGACUUAUAAGUGGUCACCUUGUCAAGAGCAAACCUUCACGUGCUCGACAAAGGUUCGAGUCAGGACGAAUAAUUGCUACAGUCUACGCGAUGGCGCCCUCUCGUGGCCACCGCCAGAAGCGCCGCGAGGGGCUGCCAACUUCGCCUUGAGUACUUGACGACGGUUCCGGGAUGUCUCCACCAGCAGGAAAUAUGGAAUGAGUCCUCCACGUUCCUUCCGGGGACCCACUUGACGUUGUUUGUUUGUGAAGCAUCCGCAAACAUUUACCAGGGGGGAAAAAAAAAUGCAUCUCUUGCAUAAUGCUCAAGGAAAAAAAGAAAAUCGAAUCAAAAAACAGCAAGCGGCAGCAGUUGGCUCAUGAGACGUUUAAUUGAUCUCGCACAGAAAUAAAUAUUGAUCCCAUGAACAUGACAGGAACAACAUGACUAUCAACAGGACGUGAAGGUGGAGUCCAGCCUACUUCCAGGCUUUGGCAGCUUUCAGGAGCUCGUACAUCACGUAACCCACACCUGUGCAGCGCAACACAACAAGAA